AACGUACCCUAGAGUGGGGGAUAACUACGCGAAAGCGUAGCUAAUACCGCAUACGCACUAAGGUGGAAAGCGGGGGCUCGCAAGACCUCGCGCUCAUGGAGCGGCCGAUAUCUGAUUAGCUAGUUGGUGGGGUAAAGGCCUACCAAGGCGACGAUCAGUAGCUGGUCUGAGAGGACGACCAGCCACACUGGGACUGAGACACGGCCCAGACUCCUACGGGAGGCAGCAGUGGGGAAUUUUGGACAAUGGGGGCAACCCUGAUCCAGCCAUGCCGCGUGUGU
rnacentral:rRNA from 1 species